AGUGAACGCUGGCGGUAGGCCUAACACAUGCGAGUCGAACGGCAGCACAGUAAGAGCUUGCUCUUACGGGUGGCGAGUGGCGGACGGGUGAGGAAUACAUCGGAAUCUACUUUUUCGUGGGGGACAACGUAGGGAAACUUACGCUAAUACCGCAUACGACCUACGGGUGAAAGCAGGGGAUCUUCGGACCUUGCGCGAUUGAAUGAGCCGAUGUCGGAUUAGCUAGUUGGCGGGGUAAAGGCCCACCAAGGCGACGAUCCGUAGCUGGUCUGAGAGGAUGAUCAGCCACACUGGAACUGAGACACGGUCCAGACUCCUACGGGAGGCAGCAGUGGGGAAUAUUGGACAAUGGGCGCAAGCCUGAUCCAGCCAUACCGCGUGGGUGAAGAAGGCCUUCGGGUUGUAAAGCCCUUUUGUUGGGAAAGAAAAGCAGCAGGUUAAUACCCCGCUGUUCUGACGGUACCCAAAGAAUAAGCACCGGCUAACUUCGUG
rnacentral:rRNA from 1 species